rfam:Methanoplanus limicola DSM 2279 chromosome, whole genome shotgun sequence.
GCGCCGAUAGUGUAGUGGUCAUCACUAAGCGUUGCCAACGCUUAAACCCGAGUUCGAGUCUCGGUCGGCGCA